rnacentral:rRNA from 1 species
AACGAACGCUGGCGGCGUGCCUAACACAUGCAAGUCGAACGGAGGCAAGGGGCUUGCUCCUUGCUUUAGUGGCGCACGGGUGAGUAACGCGUGGAUAAUCUGCCUGAUACUCUGGGAUAACAUCUCGAAAGGGGUGCUAAUACCGGAUAAGCCCACGGACUCUUUGGAGUUUGCGGGAAAAGGAGGGGACCUUCGGGCCUUCCGAUAUCAGAUGAGUCCGCGUCCCAUUAGCUAGUUGGUAGGGUAAAGGCCUACCAAGGCGACGAUGGGUAGCUGGUCUGAGAGGAUGAUCAGCCACACUGGAACUGAGACACGGUCCAGACUCCUACGGGUGGCAG